AUUCUCAGCCAUGCUACCCUGAACAAGCCUGAUCCCGUCUGAUCUCGGCAGCUAAGCAGGGUCGGGCCUGGUUAGUACUUGGAUUGGGAGGCCACCUAGGAAGACCAGGUGCUGUAGGCG
rnacentral:rRNA from 1 species